CCCGCUGAACUUAAGCAUAUCAAUAAGCGGAGGAAAAGAAACCAACAGGGAUUGCCUCAGUAACGGCGAGUGAAGCGGCAACAGCUCAAAUUUGAAAUCUGGCCCCUUCGGGGUCCGAGUUGUAAUUUGGAGAGGAUGCUUCGGGUGUGGCCCCGGUCUAAGUUCCUUGGAACAGGACGUCACAGAGGGUGAGAAUCCCGUACGUGCCCGGUGGCCGCCCCCGUGUGAAGCUCCUUCGACGAGUCGAGUUGUUUGGGAAUGCAGCUCAAAAUGGGUGGUGAACUCCAUCUAAAGCUAAAUAUUGGCGAGAGACCGAUAGCGAACAAGUACCGUGAGGGAAAGAUGAAAAGCACUUUGGAAAGAGAGUGAAACAGUACGUGAAAUUGUUGAAAGGGAAACGCUUGAAGUCAGUCGCGUCGACCGGGGAUCAGUCUCGCUUAAUCGCUGGACGUACUUCCUGGCCGACGGGUCAGCAUCGGUUUCGACCGUCGGAAAAUGGUUCGAGGAAAGUGGCACCCCUCGGGGUGUGUUAUAGACUCGGGUCGAAUACGACGUUUGGGACCGAGGGACUCAGCACGACCUUCGGGUUCGGGGCUUAGGCUCACGUUAACGUGCUUAGGAUGCUGGCAUAAUGGCCUUAAGCGACCCGUCUUGAAACACGG
rnacentral:rRNA from 1 species